AGCGUAGGCGGAUGUUUAAGUUGGGGUGAAAGCCCAGGGCUCAACCCUGGAACUGCCUUCAAUACUGGACAUCUAGAGUAUGGGAGAGGUGUGUGGAACUCCGAGUGUAGAGGUGAAAUUCGUAGAUAUUCGGAAGAACACCAGUGGCGAAGGCGACACACUGGCCCAUUACUGACGCUGAGGCUCGAAAGCGUGGGGAGCAAACA
rnacentral:rRNA from 1 species